AUUGAACGCUGGCGGCAUGCCUUACACAUGCAAGUCGAACGGCAGCGGACCUUCGGGUGCCGGCGAGUGGCGAACGGGUGAGUAAUAUAUCGGAACGUACCUUUCAGUGGGGGAUAACGUAGCGAAAGUUACGCUAAUACCGCAUAUUCUGUGAGCAGGAAAGCAGGGGAUCGCAAGACCUUGCGCUGAUUGAGCGGCCGAUAUCAGAUUAGCUAGUUGGUGAGGUAAAGGCUCACCAAGGCGACGAUCUGUAGCGGGUCUGAGAGGAUGAUCCGCCACACUGGAACUGAGACACGGUCCAGACUCCUACGGGAGGCAGCAGUGGGGAAUUUUGGACAAUGGGCGCAAGCCUGAUCCAGCCAUGCCGCGUGAGUGAAGAAGGCCUCGGUUGUAAGCUCUUUCGGUCCGGUAGAAAGUACGCACAGGUUAAUA
rnacentral:rRNA from 1 species